UUGCUUUUGGUUCGUAGGAAUGUACAUGUUUUAUUUCCUUUUAUUUUAAGGAAUGUUAAGAACUGUGUUAUACUUAGCUCUAACCAACAGCUCUGUCUGAAAUAAUUUCAGAUCAACUGCAUUCCUCCCAGGGUCUCUCUGAAUUCAGGCUUUGAAAUAACUUGUGGUCUCAGGGAAAAAGAACUCCAAUUCUGUUGUGGAUUGAAUGUAAUUGCUGCCAUUCAAUUCAGAUAUUUUAAAGGGUAUUUCAGCUGUGUGACAGAGGCAUAGAGCUGAAAAUAGAGUAAGUCUUUAGGCCAAGAUAAGGCACAAGUAUGCAGCACUUUUAAGAAUUGUUUAAUUCCUUUGAAGAUUUUCAUGCAAGAUACAAAGAUACAAGAUACAAGAAGCAAGAUACAAACAGGAGUCCAAGAAUUCUUAGUGAAUGGAGGUCUUUAUGAAACUUCAGCACCCAUCUGAAAAAUUCCAUGAAGUGUGAUCCAAAGGAAAACUUAGGAGAGCUUUAGCAUCAGGAGCUGAUGGAGGAGAAACUUGGAGAGAUGAACAAAGGGAAGUAGAAAUUGCUGUGUGAAGGAUUACAGUUUAACUUGUGGGAAAUAGGAGAGCAGAAUGAAGUAGACAAAGGAAGGUCAUGCCUAAACUUCUAUGUCUCUUCAGUGCUCCAGAGAGUUUUACCACUAUGUGUAAAGCCAGAAGAAAAUAAAGUAAAACAUUUUUAUAAUGAUUCAUUUAUAAGCAUUUUUUUUUCAGUAUUUGUGUUGAGAUAUUAGUCAAUUCUCUGUUACCAUACCUGAUUUGAGUCUGGUCCAAUUGCCAAUGAAGACAUUAGAAUAAUCCAGAUGCAUUUUACAGGCCUUCGGCUAGUGUCCUGACAUGUGUGUCAGAGAAUCAUAAUAAAAAUAUCAGAUUAGUAUUUCAUAAAAUGUCUAUAUAUAUAUAUACACACACGUGUGUGUACAGUGAAUUUUAGACCUGUAAUCUGUUGCCAAUGAUAAAUUGUUAGAAAUGUAUGAGCAAGCACUGCCUCCAAAGAAUUCUAGUUCCUGAGAUGCAUUUCCUCUCUGUCCCCAUGCCUCUACUUCUCUUCAGGCUUUGGUUACCAUCAAUGAACUUGUUCAAAAGCUGUUCUCAAUUUAACCAGCCUUUUGGUAAAGAUGAUUCUUUUUCGUUUAACAAUAGUGUCAUUUCACAUAACAUCAUGUUGUUUUAAAUUCCACAAUGACAAGGAGAUAGUUCUGUUUCAGUCUACUUUCUGUGCCAAGAUCUAAAAAUCAUUAUCUUGGCAUUUAAUUUUGUACUUACAUGAAAUUUUGACAGCUGUAUCCCACGUAAUAGUAAAAUAAGUGCACUAACAUAAAAUGUGCAAAAAAACACAACACCUCAAUAAAUCUAGUAAAAUGUUACAAAGCAAAAUAUAUUAGAUUUCAAUUACUUUUUUUAAAUAUCCUCCUCAAUAUUCUCCUGAAGUAGUUCAUUUGUUGAUCAUCAUUGCCUUGCCAUCAUCUUUAGACAUUUUUGCUCUGAGUCUUCCAUUAGAAGAUUGUGUAUCGCUUUUAAACUUCAGUGUACAUAAAGACCAAUGGGUGUGGGGUAGGGAGAAGGAAGGGAAAAAAUGGUGUGCUUUUCAGACUGUUAAUGCUUGGGGUCUUGGAUUUUCUCUUUGACAUUUUCCAUGUUUUUUUGUUUUGUCACUUGGCUGUAAAUAACAUACUUUCCUGGCCACUUAGAAAGGUAAUGUUCUCCUUGCUUGUCUUGUUCAAUAGAGUUAUCAUUGAACGGAGCAUUCCUGGCAGCCUAUUGAAGAGCUUUAAAUUGAAACAUCCUUUUAGCGUAGAGUAGUAAUCAAAAUGCUUGUGUGUUAUAUGGGAAAGGAGAAGUAACCAUUUUUCAAGUUUAUGGCACGGAGCUUUUCCCAUUGUUGUAAGAGUUCGAUUAUUAAAGAAGCCACCUUAAAUUGCCACAUCCCAAAGCAGUUCUAAAAAAUGUUUACUUUAGGAGAGCAGUCUUUGGAUCACUUGUAAUUGUAAUUGUAUUCUGGUGUCGUUAGUUCUCCGUGUGGCUUUCUUCUCUGUGUUCUUCAUCAUCCAGAAAGUACAUUCCAUUUGAAGCAUUUACUCCUAAGUCCCAGAGUGAAAUAUGUUAUAUGAUUUUCUCUGUCCUCUCCAGCAAGCAUGUGUUGUAAGAGCUUUGUGUUUUCUUCUGAGCAAAUAUAUACUUUUUGUUUGAUUUAAAAAAACUGUAACACUGGUGGUACAUAUAUUUCAGUAAUGUUGUGUUAUAUGUGCAUGAUAUGUCAUGAUAACAAACUAAAAUUAUAUUAAGUUCGGCCUUUACAAUAUGAAGUGUCUUACAAGAAAAAACUGAUGCUUAUGUUCUUUUGAUAGAAUUUUCAGGGAUUUAAAAAUAUAUGAUCUAGAAAUAAAGAAUAACACAAUGAGACUUCUCUUGCAUUUACUUACCAGAUGAUUUUUCUGGUCGCAGAUCAUGUGUUUUGGGACU